ACAGCAGUAGCCGCGGUAAAACGGAGGGUGCAAGCGUUAAUCGGAAUUACUGGGCGUAAAGCGCACGCAGGCGGUCUGACAAGUCAGAUGUGAAAUCCCCGGGCUUAACCUGGGAACUGCAUUUGAAACUGUCAGGCUGGAGUCUUGUAGAGGGGGGUGGAAUUCCAGGUGUAGCGGUGAAAUGCGUAGAGAUCUGGAGGAAUACCGGUGGCGAAGGCGGCCCCCUGGACAAAGACUGACGCUCAGGUGCGAAAGCGUGGGGAGCAAACAGGAUUAGAUACCCGAGUAGUCCCUGUCUCUUAUAC
rnacentral:rRNA from 1 species